GAUGAACGCUGGCGGCGUGCCUAAUACAUGCAAGUCGAGCGAACAGACGAGGAGCUUGCUCCUCUGACGUUAGCGGCGGACGGGUGAGUAACACGUGGAUAACCUACCUAUAAGACUGGGAUAACUUCGGGAAACCGGAGCUAAUACCGGAUAAUAUAUUGAACCGCAUGGUUCAAUAGUGAAAGACGGUUUUGCUGUCACUUAUAGAUGGAUCCGCGCCGCAUUAGCUAGUUGGUAAGGUAACGGCUUACCAAGGCAACGAUGCGUAGCCGACCUGAGAGGGUGAUCGGCCACACUGGAACUGAGACACGGUCCAGACUCCUACGGGAGGCAGCAGUAGGGAAUCUUCCGCAAUGGGCGAAAGCCUGACGGAGCGACGCCGCGUGAGUGAUGAAGGUCUUCGGAUCGUAAAACUCUGUUAUUAGGGAAGAACAAAUGUGUAAGUAACUAUGCACGUCUUGACGGUACCUAAUCAGAAAGCAACGGCUAACUACGUG
rnacentral:rRNA from 1 species